UACGGAGGGGGCUAGCGUUGUUCGGAAUUACUGGGCGUAAAGCGCGCGUAGGCGGCUUUGUAAGUUAGAGGUGAAAGCCCGGAGCUCAACUCCGGAAUUGCCUUUAAGACUGCAUCGCUAGAAUCAUGGAGAGGUGAGUGGAAUUCCGAGUGUAGAGGUGAAAUUCGUAGAUAUUCGGAAGAACACCAGUGGCGAAGGCGAACUCACUGGACAUGUAUUGACGCUGAGGUGCGAAAGCGUGGGGAGCAAACAGG
rnacentral:rRNA from 1 species